AUUGAACGCUGGCGGCAGGCCUAACACAUGCAAGUCGAACGGUAACAGGAAUCAGCUUGCUGAUUCGCUGACGAGUGGCGGACGGGUGAGUAAUGUCUGGGAAACUGCCUGAUGGAGGGGGAUAACUACUGGAAACGGUAGCUAAUACCGCAUAACGUCGCAAGACCAAAGAGGGGGACCUUCGGGCCUCUUGCCAUCGGAUGUGCCCAGAUGGGAUUAGCUAGUAGGUGGGGUAACGGCUCACCUAGGCGACGAUCCCUAGCUGGUCUGAGAGGAUGACCAGCCACACUGGAACUGAGAAACGGUCCAGACUCCUACGGGAGGCAGCAGUGGGGAAUAUUGCACAAUGGGCGCAAGCCUGAUGCAGCCAUGCCGCGUGUAUGAAGAAGGCCUUCGGGUUGUAAAGUACUUUCAGCGAGGAGGAAGGUGUCGUGGUUAAUAACCGCAGCAAUUGACGUUACUCGCAGAAGAAGCACCGGCUAACUCCGUGCCAGCAGCCGCUGUAA
rnacentral:rRNA from 1 species